CUAGUAAUCGUAGGUCAGCAUACUACGGUGAAUACGUUCCCGGGCCCUGUACACACCGCCCGUCAAACCAUGAGAGUUGGCAACACCCGAAGUCGGUAGUCUAACCGCAAGGAGGACGCCGCCGAAGGUGGGGUUGAUGAUUAGGGUUAAGUCGUAACAAGGUACC
rnacentral:rRNA from 1 species